rfam:Sarcophilus harrisii ctg7180001654004, whole genome shotgun sequence.
AUACUUACCUGGCAGGGGCAAUUUCAUGAUCAUGAAGAUGGUCUCCCCAGGGCAAGGCUUAUCCAUUGCACUCCCGAUGGGCUGACCCCUGCAAUUUCUCCAAAUGUGGGAAACUCUACUGCAUGAUUUAUGAUAGAGUUGUGCUACAGUUCCCUAUUA